GAUGAACGCUGACAGCAUGCUUAACACAUGCAAGUCGAUGGGGAAGUGGUGCUUGCACCGUGGCAACCAUGGCGGACGGGUGAGUAACGCGUAAGGGACUUACCUGCAGGACUGGGAUAACAGGGGGAAACUCCUGACAAGACCGGAUGAUGUCAUGGAGCUGCAUGGCUUUAUGAUGAAAGGAGACGCCUGCGGAGAGGCUUGCGUCCUAUUAGCUAGUUGGUGAGGUAAUGGCUCACCAAGGCGAAGAUAGGUAGCCGGCCUGAGAGGGUGGACGGCCACAAGGCGACUGAGAUACGGCCCUUACUCCUACGGGAGGCAGCAGUGGUGAAUAUUGGACGAUGGUGGCAACCCUGAUGCAGCAAUUCUGUGUGCACGAAGAAGGUUGUCGGAGUGUAAAGUGCUUUCAGCAGGGAAGAAGUAAGUGACGGUACCUGCAGAAGAAGCGACGGCUAAAUACGUG
rnacentral:rRNA from 1 species